AACGAAAGCUGGCGGCAUGCCUAACACAUGCAAGUCGAACGAGACCUUCGGGUCUAGUGGCGCACGGGUGCGUAACGCGUGGGAAUCUGCCCUUGGGUUCGGAAUAACAGUUGGAAACGACUGCUAAUACCGGAUGAUGACGUAAGUCCAAAGAUUUAUCGCCCAAGGAUGAGCCCGCGUAGGAUUAGCUAGUUGGUGAGGUAAAGGCUCACCAAGGCGACGAUCCUUAGCUGGUCUGAGAGGAUGAUCAGCCACACUGGGACUGAGACACGGCCCAGACUCCUACGGGAAGCAGCAGUGGGGAAUAUUGGACAAUGGGCGAAAGCCUGAUCCAGCAAUGCCGCGUGAGUGAUGAAGGCCUUAGGGUUGUAAAGCUCUUUUACCCGGGAUGAUAAUGACAGUACCGGGAGAAUAAGCGCCGGCUAACUCCGUG
rnacentral:rRNA from 1 species